UCCUCGAGAAAUUCCGGUCGAUUAAAACUAUAAUUGGUGUAUUUGCCUAUGUCGGUCUUUGGCUUUUAACCCGAGGCAAGUUUGGUCUUUAUGUCAUCAGCUCGUUUUUUCAGCGUGGUCGGUUGUUACAUAACAGGUUCGAAGUCGCUCCCUUUUAUACUGUAGAAAAGACUUCCCACUGGCAAAUUUUGAAUGUCACCAUCAUUUUCAGUCAUUGAUUCAGCGAUUUGUUGGGUUGUCUCUCGAAUUGAUGUCAUAAUUUUGUUGUUUAUAUCAAC
rnacentral:lncRNA from 1 species